GGGGAGGUGACCUCGGCCACGCCAGCGCGGUGCCCAGGGCGAAGGGGAUGGGACCUGAUCCAUCCCGUCAUCGGAAGAGUUUUACUGCAAAUAGCCAUGGCACCCCGGAUCAGACUGAGCCUUUCCAAGCCUCUCCCAACCAUACGGGAAACCCACGAGGAAGCGAUGGAGGAUUCAAGCAGCAACCCAAAGUGUGCUGGAAGUGCUGCAGCCAGCCCAGCCUCGUACUCCAGCGAUGACUACAUCCAAUCCAUCUGCCACCUCGCCAGACCCACCUUCCCAGCCCUUCUGGAAAGCAGACGUAAGGGUAAGGACAGAAAGACCCCGAAGACUUCUGAGGAUGUGUCAGGUUCUCCACCACUUGUGGGGACACAGCAGGCAAGGUCAAAAUGCAAAUUGACCAAUUUCAUCUCGAAUGUGGUGCCACUGGGAAAAGUCUCACCUGCAGAAACCGACUUUUGGUCCAGAGAGGACCCCCUGGAACAAAUUUACACCAAUGCAGGAAAUCUUUGCUCCUCCAAGGCUUCUUCCUAUGUUGAAAGUGCCAGCAGUGGUUACUCACAGUGCAACUCUUCUGCCCCAAAUGGUGACCUUCAUCCCACAAACCUGGAAGAAAAAAACACAGGGAAAAACAGUUUUCCACGAGUGUUCAGUUUUCCAAGGCUUCCCUCCCCAAGACCGGUUCAGAAAGAAGCAGUAUGCUCAGAGCUGAGGUAUCUCAGAAGGAGGGAAGGUGGCAGGAAACCCUGCCUUGCCCUGCUCUGAAGGAAGGCAGAAUUUGUUCAAUGCAGCAGGCAUAGAUGAAAAAGAAGGGAGAAAAACUUCUCACUGUGACAAAAAUGUCACGGGUGGUGUUCCCACUAAGCAGAGAUACUUCGAGUCUUUCCAGGUACCUAAAAAAGCCACCAUCCAUAACUGGAUUUCAGAGCACAGAUGCAUCUGGAAAGAAGCAAAGAUAAAAGCUUGUUUGCUCCCAGCCAUUGCUGAAGUGUGAAGAAGUAGCUGCUUAGAAUAGUUUUAUUCACAAGAUAUAACCACCCUGUGCUCUAGCAGCUCUCCCUGGAGUUCUCACACAGAAAACAUGGCUUGAACAUGCAUGCGAGUCAGGCAGACUCUUGUGAUCCAUCAAAUCCCUCAUUCGUGGGCAAAGGGACAAUUCAGAGUCUCAUCUGCUAAGGAAACAGCAAUCAGUUUUUAUUUUGGAAAGGCAACAGUUCAUAAAGCAUCUCCUCCCACCUACUGCCGAGAACUGCCCUGAGCAUGAAGAAAAGCUGGAGAGAGCUGGAGAGAACACAAAUCCCAUCUGCUGGAGAAGAAGUGGGAACAUGGAAACACCAGUGCUUUCCAGCCAGUGCCAAGCAGCCAAAUGUUGCUGACACCUGAGUGCAGUUACUCAAGAAGGAACCCUUUGCCCAAGGCUCGGACAGUACGAAAUGCACUUUCUCUGACACACACAUUUCCUGGGAUACCCAUCACAGAUCCCUGCCUCAGCACCAGGAUCCCACUGGAGAGGUCACCCAUUAGAGCAGUAGCAUAAAGAAUUACUUCUUAAAAAUCAUAAGAAGUCUAUUAAGAGGAUUUUCUGGAGGGCAAGGUGGAAUUACAACUCCUUGGGUGGGGAUUUUCCUGCUGCUUACCCUGUCACAAUUCUGUUCCCUUUACUCCUGGACUUAGCCCUGGCAGGAGGAGAGCUGGGAGCCCUGGUGGGCAUUGCUGUGCCAGUGCUGUGGCUGUUGUGGAGCCAGCUGGAAACAGGCAUCAUGUUGGACUCUGCACUGUCACAGCCAGGCUGCACACCACAGGCACCCACAGGAUCUGCUGCUCGGUGUGGGGAGCCCAUGAGCCCACACAGAGCUCUGCAGGCUCGGAAGAGCAGCCUUGGCUGAGGGGCAGCCUAGGGAUGCUGGGCUGGUGCUGAUAGAACCUGAAUGUAAAAUAAUAACUUGUGUUUCCCGUCAUACCUGUGCUUCUGUAUUCUCACCUACCUGACUGUGCUGAUGAUGUGGAGUGAGCUUUGCUUCAUGCUGCAAGACUGAAACAUGGAAAAAACCAAAUGUGCAUGUCCCAGCCAUCCAGCACACAGCAUAUACAAACGAUUCAUGUUGAUGGUGUUGCUACAUGGGAUGUCUGUAGGACGAGAAGCACUCCCAGGAGGCUGGGAGGUCCUGGCAUGGGGUAGUGGGCACGUGUCCAGGCCAUCCCUCGCUGCCACACAGAGACUUCUCCAUCAGAGAAGCUGCCAUUGCCACUUUCUCCUGCAGUCAGAGCAACCUCACCCACCUGUGUCUGGUGCCACACUCUCCACAGCCACUCAGGAGAUGUAGCUGAGAAAACUGCAAAGCAAUACCAGCCUAAUUAUUACUACUACUAGGAAUAAAUGUUUUGGCACAGCAAAGAGCAGAGGGACCAGGCUGUUUGCUCAACAGCAGCUAAGAUGAAAAACAGCAUUGGAAAGCUGCAAUUAUAAAAAUGCUCACAAGUGAUUUCCAAACCACCCUCAAGCAGAUUAAAUGAAAAAGCAAUUUCUACUCAGCACCAACAUGAGUGUAAAUAUACUCAAGAAUCAAAAGGUGAGAGUGUUUGAGCUUCUCAUCCUCACAUCUCUUACCUCAAAUAUUUUUUUCUCCUGUUGAAACUCAUUAGUUCUAUGGAGCUGAGCAGCUUCUCAGCUCUGUUUUUGAGCUAACCAUACAGCAAGAACGGAAGUGAAGGUGGCUCCAGCAUUCAUUAAAGCUGAUGGAGAAAGUUGAACCCAGGAGGUCCCAGCCUGCUCUGCCUCCUCCACACCUGCCCCUCCCUUCUCAGGUAAAUGCUGGGGUUUAAGCAAUGCUUGUUCUCACUGCUCUGCUGUCAUUUAAAUGUCUCUCCCUGUGGAUAUUUAUGACUCUAAUGCCUAACAAGUCUUGUGCCAACUGCAUGUAUCACUGCUUUUGACAGAGGAAACAAAUAAA
rnacentral:lncRNA from 1 species